rnacentral:lncRNA from 1 species
GUCAUCAAAGAUGGAUGAAACUUCUGCUUCAAACUAGGAGCCAGUGUUUGGUUACAUCUGCACCACUGAGGGAUGGAUGGCUUUGUGUUAUAGUGGCAUUGAACUUUCUGAAUUUCGUUCACAAUUUGUUGGCACUUUUUGAUUCCUUUAUUUAAAGGAUGACGCACGAGCAACUUUAUCCUCAUGAAACUUUUGGUGAAUUAUAAUUUUUGAGAAAACAGUUUACAAAUAGAAAGAUCUUAAAUGUCGCUUUAAAGGAGAAUCAGAACAAAAUAGACAAUGAUAUCUCACAUUUUAAAAUUUGAUUUUUGGAUUACUCUAUUUUCACCUUGGAAUGUAUUGAAUUGCACAAAGAUGUUUGAUGGUGUACUUACUUUAAUUAAAAUUUUAUGGCUGAUGAAGAAAACCACCACUUGACACGAGUGAUCACUAGGAGAGAGGGAGAAAAGAAUGUGACAGGUUGUAGAAUCUGAAGCUUCUGCUAGAGAAUGACAUCACCUCUGCUGGAGAAUGACAUCACACCGAAGUCCACUGAAGUACUGAUAGACCCCCGAUGAGCAGAGGGGAUGGAUAAAAAGAAAGCAUUGUGUAGAAGCACAGUGGAAUACUGUUCACCUACAAAUGAGGGGAAUUCCGUCAUCUGCAAUAACAUGAGUGAACUUGGAGAACACCCUGCUAAGUGUGCUCAGGGAGUGGCACUAUUAGGAGGUGUGGCCUCGGUGGAGUAGGUGUGGCCUUGUUGGAGUAGUGUGUCAUUGUGGGCAUGGGCAUGGCCUUGUCCUAGAUGCCCAGAAGCCAGUCUUCUCCUGUCUGUCU